rnacentral:misc_RNA from 1 species
UGUGUUAGCCGAUGCACGCGUUACUUCACUAAGCGCACCGCUCGAUGCACGUACAUCUUCACACUUCUACGUGUACACCCCUUCACCGCGACCCUAACUCGCGAGCAAGCAUAGCAGCCACCGGGAAAGCAACAAGCGCGUGCUUGUCUCGUUGCUCUGAACGGAAAUCGUUCUCACAGGCGAUAGGGCAACUGCCACGGUGAACAUUACAGGGAUUUGUGGGCGAACAACAACCCCAGGGCCGGCACUCGGCAGGCUUGAAGUAUCGUGGUCCUCAACAGAACAUCGAAAUCAGAAAAGGCGUUGCUGGGUGCCUCGGAGCGCUAUACUGCCCAUCAUUAGCCCCGCCAUCACAGCACGUCAUUUUCUUUACCCUUCCUUUUUUGUUUCUCUACACUCAUGGCAGAGCAGCCCGCGAAUGCGACGCUCACACGACGUCGCCAGCGCCGCCCCGACCUCCAAAGCACGUUCGAUGUGCCGGAGGAUGUACGGCAGUCCCUGGAGCAGGUGGCGCGAGCCCUCUUCGUUACGGCACCGUCCUCGGCAUUGGCGACCAAGGUGGUGCGCACGACGGACGCCGCACUUCAGGAACUCCUUCAGCUUUCCCUCACCCCAGAGCAGCAGCUGCACGCCAUCUCGAAAAUGACGGGCGCCAUACGUGAGAUCCCCAAGUGUCGACUGGCGGCGAUUCUCACUGAGUCGACUGGUGAGCUCCACUCGUGGGGCCGCACCCUAGCACUCGAGGCAGUUGUGCCGCUGCUCCUCGACUGCCGCGUGCGCUAUCUGCACCGAGCGCUCAUGACUCUGCUGCGAACGCUUCUGCCUGCACCAGACGCCGCGACGGAGGCGACUGUUCGUGAAAUGUACGUUGCACGCAUCCUGCACUGCGCCAAGUCGUGGGAGGCAGACGCCGCUACCGCCAUGAGACCUGUGGCGGCGCUUGGUGCCCGCAGUGACACAUCCGAGGCUGCCGCCGCGGUGUACUUUCCGUGCAGCUCGGAGAAUCGAGGCACCAUUAUCCCCGCUGCGCGAAGCAUGGACGACUGCAGCGCUGAGCGCGAUCAGGUGUUGAACUUCUUGAAUGCAGUAGAUGGAUUGACAAGCACGCUGAUGCCCAUGAUGCCUGGCAUAUUCAAGGACACGUUUCUGGAGGUGCUGCCGCUGCUUGCCGACAGCUUCCAGUGGGUCGUUGUUAACGCGACUAGCCACAGCCGUGUCCAGGCUAGCACCGCCACCGAUGCAAGUGAUGGCGCAGGCACGCUGCCACGGCUGACCAACGAGGCUGCGCAAAGUGUGACCAAUGCGGAUGAGGAGGCCAGCAAUGGUGUGGCGGUGGCUGUGCCACCGGUGGCGCAUAAGGCCGACGCUGCUGCUGUGUUUGGCGAAGAUCUCGAGCACAUUCGCUUCUGCGUCCGCGUAGUCGCCGCGUACAUCCACAAGUACAUGGACUCGCUUACACUGGCGAUGGCGUCCGGCGCUACCGGCGACAACGUGCGCCGCGAUCUGACGCGUCUGCUGCAACCCACCAUCGUCAUGCUGUACUCGCCCAUCUUCCCAAAGGAUGUUCUGAACGCGGUUGGACUACUGGUGGCGUCGAUCUUGACGGUGCGCACGUGCGACGCGUGGCUGUUGGCCUUCGUAUGUGCCGCGCUACGCGACGACGUUGCCCAAUACACAGGUGAUGCUGCCAGACUUCUCGGUGCGGAGGCGUCCACCGACAGCGUCCCCGAGUUGCAGGAGAGUAGAACAGCCGCUGCUUUGUCGCUCGCGCACCUUUUUGCGCAGACAGACGUGGCUCUGCGCGUCGUGUCAGCGGCGAACCCGCGAGAGGCAGCUCAGGCUGAUGGUGGCGCUGGGGCUAAGGCCCUGUACGACCUCUUUUCCAACUUAACGCCCAAUGGCUGCUUUGCGCUGCUCAAGGGCAUUCUGGCGCACACGUCGGCGCCGAUUCGCGGGGACUGGAUGUCACUCGGGCUCCUACUGAGGCCUCUACCGUGGACCUCGCUGUCGGCGAUUGGGGCGGAAAAAGCGCCGAGCAAUCCCUCGCAUGGCACUAUCAUAGCCUACGACAUCAUUUUGCAGGCGGCGCAGCAGUACUGCAACGUUGUGCAGGAGCCGGAGACGCGAUUUAUGGCUAUUCAGACGGUGGACAGCGUCGUGCGCCACGUGAGCUCGGUUCUGAAGAUCGCCGUCAAGGCGCUCGCGCAAUCUGCGAAGAACAGGGGUGCCGACGCUCUCACGAAACUGGUUUUAUCCCAGUGUUCGCUAGAGUCUGCGGCGCCGGAGGUGAGCCAGGCAACGGCACUUUUUUGCCACCUCUCUUCGCUGUGCACUUCAUCCCCAAAGUUGCAGAACGCACUCUCCUACGCCACUCAGCUCAUCAUGGCGCUGUGGGAUGACGGCACACAGCAGAUGUCUGGUGCCCUCUACGGCACGUACGGCGAGAUCUUGAGGAUACAUGCGCUGCUUCGCGGUAGCGCCUCUCAUGCGCCUGGCGAACAGCUCGACCGUGGUGUCGACACCUCCGUGACGCUCGAUCAGAUCCUCCAAGCACAAGCGGAGCGCCGCGGAAAGUACCACGCGCUUCUUGGCUUGCUUUCCAUGAUGCCCCUGGGCGACUUCAUCGCGGCGCUGCAGCGCCACUAUGGCUGCCCCAACGCGGCAACAGACGCCGUCUCCGCCUUCUCCCGCACACUGUUGACAGGGGCGAGCAAUCACAAGAUUGGUAACGUAGCCGGCGACCUCUUUGCCCAUUUAGCGCGAGGCAUUGCGAAAGCACCGCCAGACGCUGCUAUCGCAGGCUGCAGCUGCGACGGCGAAACAGCCGAGCAUGUGAUGCGGCGUGGCAUCAUCGAGCCGCUAGUACGCGCGAUCACAGAGAAAGGCUACGUUGGUGUCUCGUCCAACGUCAGUGAGGGGGUGAACAUAUCGCACAUAACCGCCCACUUUGUGGCGCCCUUGGUGAAGCAGGACCCAGCGUGUCUACGCGCCAUACUCACCGCCGUCGCCGCAAACCUGGACGGCGCUUCCUAUGGACAGUCCUCGCUGCCCGGCACCGUGGCAGCACCAGAGUACGAGCGUGUUGAGCAAGGUGUAGUCGAGGUGGUCGCUCGUGCGCGCGGCGUCGGGGUGGACAUUACGCCCUACCUUGCCCCUGGUAGUACUAUACUGCGGGUGCUGGAGGAAGGUAGCCGCAGCCUCAACUACGACGUGCGCAAUACAGCUUUGUGUCUCUGCGUGCUAGGCGCCAAGAAAAUUCAAGCCGUGCAACCUUGGCAGCUGCGCAGGGUGGAGGAGUACAUCAUCUUUAACAUGCACCUCGGCGGAGACAGCACCGCACGCAAAGGACUUCUAGAGAUGCUAAAGAAGUGGGUGCGUCGACUCAUGGAGAGCUACACCAGCAAACCCCAGAAUGGGGCAUCGGCAUCGACAGCGGCUUCGGCGACUCCCAAGAAGGCGCACAAGAAGGGUGAGCGACAGGAGGACGCGGUGGCGGCUGCCCAACGCACUGGCGCAACGUCCCUGGUGGCGGUUUCCGCCAGCGGGCAGGACUUGCAGCUGGAGCUGGGCACCGCGGCGUAUCGGGUGGCGGUGAUGGAUCACUGCAGACGCCUCUCGAGCAUCUUCGCCCAGAACAUCGGCACGAGCGCUCACGCGGGCGCCGGGCUUUCGGUGGAGCGGCGCGUCGCGGCCAUGAUGGGGUACUCCAUUCUUCUGCAAGGGCUGCGCACACAUGUUGCCAAAAAGGAGGCUAUGGAAUGGGCUGCCGCCACAGAAUCGGUGAGCGGCGGCGCCGCAUUGCCGCUGCUGCACAUCUGUGUCGUACCAUCCCUCCUUGCCGCGCUGUCGGAUGGCUGGUCGCAAGCGCGUGAGAGCGCCCGAGAGCUGCUGCGCGCCUUCUGCGAGUUGGCCCCAACAGCGGUUUUCACGGCGACUAACGGCAUCGACGGCGGCAGCGCCGCCUCUGCAUCCGCUAUGGCGGCGCGCGCUCAUCAGGAUCUGCUCCGUGCGCAGACGUUCCGCAACGCUGAGGGCGCCGUGGGGCGGUUUCUCAUCUUCACCACGCUCACAGCGGAGGCGCAGGAAGCCACGAGGCAGCGUCCGCUGGAGGAGCUUGAGCGUCUCAGCGGCCUGCUGGAGCGAGAACGCACGUCUGUGGAGGGCAAGUGUGCCGAGAUGAGCGCGAUGCGUGGCACCAAGGCAUACGCCUACAUUCAGGCAAACCCGCUCCACGGCACCCUCUCGCUUUGCGCGGAGCUGCUAAGCCUCAUGGCGUCGGUCGAGUGCCGAGCCUCCGCGGCUUCCCCAUCGUCGCUGCUGACGCUGGCGUGCACGAAUCUCUUGCAGUGCUGCUGCCUUGUCCUGCGCACGUGCAGCUCACUGGUGGGCACGGAGACAGUGACCGCCGGCGCCACCGCGUCGUCGGUCGCGGACGAGGUCGUGGACUGCCGCGGCCAUGUCUACGACCGCAGUCGGCCCGAGGCGGAGUCUGCGAUGCGGGGAGUGGUGAACAACACCUGGCUCAGCAUGCGCGUCGCCGCAGGCUCCAUCACGCGCCUCUUGAAGGUACGACCGGUGCACGCCAUGCCGUUCGCUGCCGUCCAUGCGGCCGCCUACGAGCUCGUGCAUGCGCUACUCCUCACGAAGCACAACGGAGUGAUGCGUUGUGUCCGUGAGGCGCUCAAAGCCCUCGUGGCCACACUGGUGCGCUCGCGUCAAACGCUGUUCUACCAACUCCCGGCAGAGCUGCUCGACUACUUGAUGGGGCCGGAGGGCGUCACCUCUGGACAUGUCACCCGCAUACUGCGGCGCAGCCAAGGCCUCCCGCAUGCUAUCCUUGCAGUGCUCGAGGCGGAAGACACGACGGUGCCAUACUGCCUCUUUCCUUCAGCGAUGAGGCAACUUCUGCGCGUCGCGCGCGGCGACAUCGCCGGCGCACAUGCGCUGGGCGGCGCCGAGACCGCGCCUCUCGGCGUUUCUGCGGAGACGGUGCGACGUAGCCAGCGCUCCAACGCGCUUAACGUGAUGAAGUUCAUCUUCGAGGACAAGGUGUUUGCCGACCGCGUUGUGGCGUACAUCGAGGAGGCGUUCUCUUUAGCAACGGAAGGCUUCCACGACGCCAGUUGGCACACGCGCAACAGCUCGCUCAUGCUCUUCUCCGCCGUCAUCCACCGUUUUGUCGGCGAGCACCCGUCGACCGGCGGCUCUGGUGUGAACACCUCCCUGCACGACGUCGCAAAGCGCAUGCCGCGCGGCGUCGCCUACGCGUACGCGGAGCUGACGAGAGGGAGCCGAUCGGUCCAGGAAGCGAAGGGCGAGGACGGCGGUGCCGCCUCCGCUGCCAAGGUAAGUGUUGCUCUUUUCCCGGUGCUGCAGCUUCUGUCAAUGCUCUCGCCAGAUCCGCCGCAUCUCAUCACCAAGGUCAGCCACGGCGACUCGGACGACGCGGCCCGCAUGAUAGAGGCUGUAAUGCAGUGCGCCGGAUCGCCGAGUUUGAUGGUUCGCUCCGCCAGCGCGGUGGCGCUGUGCUGCUUGGUGCCGCUCUCCUCUCUUAGGAGGACGAUUGAGCAGACUCGACGUGGCUUGUCGCUAGAGCUGCUGCAGCCGCAUCGCUCUCUCACGGACUCCGCGAAUCACCCGGGCCCGCUCAAACAACGUGGGGGCGCAGCUGGCGGGGGCUUGAACUCGUGCCAUGGCGCGGUGCUGCAGCUGCUGCAGUUUCAUGCUCAGUACGUCGGGACGCUGCGCCGCCACUACAGACAGAAGCGCAGUAGCUACGCCACACCGACGGUCGCCGAGGCGGUCAUUCAGGCCAUUAGCGAGGCUCUUCUCUCUUGUCAGCAAGCGCUCGUCCGGGCCUGCACUGUGAGCGCCACUGUAGCGGCUUCGCUGUUCGCCUUACUGGCAGAUGUCGUCUUCUAUGGCGCGCGACACAAGCUAAGCCCGGGACAGCAGCACGCAGUGCGCGGCAUGUGCGUUGAGGCUAUGAGCGCUUAUCUUAAGGCGCGCCAUGUCGUCUCGGAACGUGGCAGCGUGAUGGAGGGUGUAAGUGCCAUGCUCGUGUUUCUGGCUGCGCAGCGUGAAAGGGCCCCGAUCGGGCAUUGGACGGGGGUGGAGCAGGGGCGGUUAGCUGAACUGCUGCAAGAGGAGGCCGCCGCCCUUAGCAUCCGGCGCGGCGAGCACAACCUCAUCUCGUGGGUCAUGACGCAGCUCCGGCACUACUCGGACGCGGCCGAUGCUCUCAACAGGACGGACGUUGCGGUGGUGCUGCGCGUGAUAUCACGCGAUCUGCACUGUGACCUUCCACAGCUGGCGCUGAAGUCAUUGACGGAGCUGUUUGACGGCGCCGCAAGCCCCGCGUCGCCCCUGAAGAUGACGAUCGGGUGCAUUGCGUGGGGGCAGCUUGUCUCGCACAUGCGUUUUGCUGCCAUGGCUAUGGCACUGACGAACAAGACGGCCGAUGCGACCACUGCUCCGCCCCAUUCAUCAGACUUCUCCAGCCUCGACGCAUGGCAGCAGACUUCUGCUGUCAAGCAGUUGCAUGCAACGCUUGUCUCUCUCCUUACUCUGUCUGCCGACGGUGACGACUCCGCGACGGCCACGCCGCUGCACAAUUCGGAUGCCUGCAGCGCGGCGCUCGACUUCAUCGCCACGCAUGACAUUUAUGUCUCUGACGCCCACGCUGUUUCCCCUGCAGUCGCGCACCUCUUGUCCUACUACUGUGAGCCAGAGCAGCCACUGGAGUCUCGCUUGGCAGUGGUGAAGGCACUGCGCACCGCACAGUCCUUUUUGCGCCGCAGCGCCGCAGCCGCGGCGUCAACAUGCCCGGCGAGUGCUGUCACGCUCUUUUUGGUGCUGUUGCGGCUGCUGGUGGAUGACACAUCCGAGAUUCGUGAUGCGGCAGCGGCUAUCUGCUCUCGCAGCAUGUGGGGCGCACACGAUGCUCCUCGAGACCAAGUGUUCUGUCUCCUCGCGGUUGUGCGCCUCCUGCGUCGGCUGCGCGACGCUGGCCUCUUGUCUGGCGUCGACGCGCUCAGGCCCGUCAUGUCCCUCGCAGACUCACCAACGACUGCAUCGGUUGUUGUCGGGGCCGCACCGGCGGAGGAGGCCGGUGACGGGGAAGAAGUCGCCGGUAGCGACGACGAGGAUGUCCUGUUUCAGAAGGAAGCGGCGAACAUGUUUGCCGAGAAGACAGUUCUGUCGCACCUUGCUGCGCACAUCUUGGGCAAUGCCACCAGUGACGCUGCCACGAUGCCGGUCUGCUUCUCCGUCUAUGACAGCUUCCUGGCGUAACGGAUGCAUGCCGCGCGCCCCUCGACUUUGUCGGACUUGUGUGAAAGCGCACUCGACGGUGCGGUGUGAGGUUGAAGCAGAGCGAAAGACGGAAUGAGGGGAGGUACCGUAGGCGGUCCGUGAUUGACUGUCGUUUUCCCCUCCCCUCCCCGUUUCCUUCGCGUCGCCUGCAUAUUCUCUGCUGCCGGAGCUGUUUCCUCUGGUUUCUUCGUUUUUUUUUUUGGUGUUUUAAUGUAAGGAGGGCGCAUGGAGGAGGGGCGAAAAAGCUCUACUAGCAAAGCAACCGACGAACUCCCCACAUGUCUGCCGAUUCCGCGUAAGGCGGCCCUGCAAAGCAUGCCGUCGCCGCCGCGUAUACAGCGACCACCACCACCUUUCUCUCUCAUGACCACGCCACUAACAAGAAAACACUCUUAAAAGGAAGCGAUAAUGAAAAGCCCUUGGCGGAGGAGAGAGGCG